AUCAAGCCUGAGUAAGGCUUUUUUUUCUUUUUCUUUUUCUUUCUUCAAUAGCACUAGGAAGGGUUUUUGAUGACGCUGGAGAAAAGUGAAGCGAAUUUCAGAGGAUAAUUUUCAGAGCUAUAUUGUUCAGAAUUCUUUUGUAUUCCUUCAGAACAUUGUUCUUCAAGAUAUAUGGGAUCGGGUUUCAGUUAAAGUACAAGAAAACAUGUAGAGGCUCAGAAGUACCAAACAGAACCCUGGUGACAAAAAUUCUGAAAUAUUUUCAUAGAAGAAAUUUGGGACAAGCUCCUGCUUCUGAGAUAUAUCUCGAGUUCACUCUUCUUUGUCUAAUGCAUUAUGGACUUGGAUUAAUUAGAACAAAUAUGAUUUGCAUUGCCGAUCUCUAAAUACCUAAAAAGUAUACUUCAUAACUACUAUUGAAAUGAUAAUAUUGCUAAUAAACUUAUGCUUAUGUAUCUGUCCUUGUAAAAUCUAGAUUGCUUUGUUAUUUCUGGGGCAGCACACAAAGCUUUUCAAUAUUAUUUCAAGUUAUUUUUUUUUUUCAAUCAGCGGUUGCCUGUUUGACAUUUAGAAAAUGCUAGUUAAUGAUAUUUACUUUUAUUCGGUGAAAACAAAGUGGUUUUGACACAGCUGGUCAUUCUGGUGCUUGGGAGAUAAACUAAAUGACUUGUUACCUAUAAGAUGGAAUAAAUUUACAUCUUAUCACUUAAAAUCCUCUACAUGAUUUAUGCAAAUUAUUUUGUGGAUAGCAUUGUAUAUGCUACUUAGUGGGAUCUAUUUGAAUAAGUCCACAGUUGUGUAGCCUUUAAGUCAAUAUUUGAUGUAGGCAAAUGGGCCCACAUCAGAGGAUGAACCUCACUACACCAAGAGUGUGUGAACUCAGUAAAGUAAAUAGUUACAGUGAUGAGGAAGGUAUGAGCCCUUCACUACCAGGUUAAAAUUUUUGAUCUGUGUUGGAUUAAUCGGCAUUCCUGUAUCAGAUUUAGAAACUCAAUCUCAGCAAUUUUUGUAUAUUUUCUGUGACUUUUGGUACCAAUGCAAGAGAGAAUAUUGAUUUGAAAAGCAAAGUAGAUAACUAUUUUAGAGUUCCUGAUUUCAUUGAAGAGCACAAAUGUAUUGUGUUAAUAUCAUCUAUGAAUACAUAUACUUCUCUUUUAUUAAUAGAAAAGCAAAAUUUCUGAAUGAAGUAUGUAUAUAUGCUUCCUCUAAUUGCAUAACAUUGUCAGAGUAACCAGACAAGAAACUGAGACACCAUAUGUUUUCACUGAUGUGUUGCCUCUUCCUCUAUAUUCACUUCUUGUGAUUCUUUUCUUUGACUCUUCUUGUUUGGUUGUUUUGUCAUAUUCAGAUUUGGGUUGUAUUUAUCUUAUAGUACUGUAUUUUAUUAUAUUUCCUUAGAUGUCUGUUUAUUUUCUGAGGAUAAACAGAAACGGUGUGGAUCCAGAUGGGAGGCCAGAGGGGAACAACUGAGAGGAGCGGGGGUGGGAAAACUUAUUAGCUUACAUUGAAAAAUUAUAUAUUUUCAAUAAAAGUAAAAAGCUCGCCAAAUAUCAUGUCCUUUUUUGAUAUUUUAUUAGAUUAGUGAGAUGAGACAGAAGUUGAUCUCUCAAAUAGAGCUUUAAUAUCUUAGAAAAUUAAUUCAAUUAUAUACACAUUAUUUACUUAAUGUGCCUUCUUUUGAAUGUCAUAGUUUUGAAAUAACCCAGAAGUCAUCAUACCCCAUGCCCUGCACAGUAUUCCAAUUGUACUGCCAAGGGUCCAUUAACCAAAGUGUCAGAAGAUGCAGAAACCAUAGUAAAUGUCCCCAAAUACACAUCCCCUGAGAGAUUUCAAAGAGGUGUAUCUGUUAUUUUAUGUUACACUUUGCUCUUAGUUUGUUUUGUCUUUCAUCCCUGUGAUUUUUGCUUAAACAAAUAAAAGAAAAUCAUAUUUUGUCCUGGCCAUAUUUUUUUAAAUAAAAAACUGCAUAUGCAAGUCAGGAUCUGUUUCCCACCUGUCACUUACAUCACCCCAAAGCAUUCCACUUGGUGGCAUGCGAAAGCCUUAAUUUGUCCUUAGAUAUAAAGUUAGAAAAUAGUUAAUACUACUUUACAAGUUGCCCAGUUUCCCAGGUACUAGAUGAGAACUAGUCACCAUAGCCUAGACAUUCUGGCUUCCAGCUUUGCUUGUCAUUGCUCUGUCUCCUCAGUCCCACAAUAUUCACCACACUAUAAAAAUUCUGAAAUACAUAAUUUACAUGUAUCUGCCCAUUUACUGAUUUAUUAAAAUCUUAGUAAAUCUGGUUUAAUUAAAUUCCCAUUGCAGAAUGAUUUCAGUGAAUCACCUUCCCAGUUUAAAUUCCCAAAUGGCCUUGUCCUUAUUUGAACUGGCCCAUCCUUGGCACAUUGGUGACUUCCACGACAUUAUUCCUUUUUUUCCGUGAAGGAUUUCUUUUAAGUAGAAGCCGUCUUCUGAAGUCUGAACUCAUCCUUACUCAUCUGUUCUGUUCUCUGCUCCAUCUGCAGUCUCCUUUCAAGUCCCAGGAUAAAUGGUAAACAAAGCAGUGCUUGCUCACACAGAACUUGCACGGACUAAGUACUUGGUGUGCAUCUCACACUGCUGGGAAAGUAUUGCACAUGCUAAGUUAUCUACAUCCCUGUCUGUAGCCUCAUUUUACCCAUCUCAGAAAUAGUGUUUCUAAAAACUCGUGAGUUCUAGUGUAAUGGCAAGCAAAGCAUGAGUUUAAUUUUUUUUAUUAACGAAAUGUAUUCUGUGAUAGGUUCACACAUUUACAUAAUUCAGUCUGUUGCUCUCACAUCUUCUCUCCCUCCUUCUGCCCUCUUUACCCCUGUCAAUCUUUCCUCAUCAUUCCUGUAUACCCUUUCCUCAUAGUCCUGCCUUAUUUUUUUGUUUUGUUUUGUGGCCCACUGAGUUUAACAAGGGCCAUGUGCAUGCCCAUUUGGAUGGAUUGGAGUUCUUUCUUCUGGGCACAGGAUAACCAUUGGAAUCAUGAUCUUAUAACAGGUAUGGUUGCCUGUCCUGGACAGGCACAAAAUGAAGCUUGGUCACUGGUGUGGGAGGUGAUCAAAGGCUGUCUUUUUCAAUAAGCUGCAGGUACUAAGGCAGGGUGAGUCAUUUCUUUACUUGAUAUCUAUAUUUUGAAGAGUACCCCAUCUACUUUUUUUUAAGGAAGCUAGGGGAUAAUCAAGAGAAGGAGCUUUCUACAGUUGUUCUGUAUGGACAUAAUAUUGAAUCAAUCUGGUAUGCAACAAAAGUGAGAGAUCAAUACAUUUCUUAUGUAUGGUUAUUGCAGUGAGGAUAGGACUGUCUAAUAAUCUACCUACUGGUCCAUGCUAUAUUUUUAGUGCUAUAAGUAAACCCAGAACCUUAUUAUAAAGGCUACAAUUCACAUUUUAAAAGCCUAUUCAAGUCAUAAAUUUAAUAUACACUCAGACUAUGUAAUACAUUUUUUAUCUGUCUUUUUUUGUGGUAUCUUUCAUUGUUGAAAUACAUUUGUCUCUUUCAAGUCAGAAUUCUAGAACCUUGGUAUUCAUUGUUUCCAUAAGAUCAGCACAGAUCACUCAAACAAAAACCUAUAUGUAAAAGACAUCUAUUAGAUUUUAUUCUUAAAUAAAGGUAUCAUGAUGUUGGUGAUUAAUGAAAGUUUAGAAUAUUGAUUAUAUUUUCAUAAAAUUGAAAAAAAUAGUUGUGAACUUUACACAUGUAUCUUGUGUGAUUAAAAUGUAUAGGCUGUCUGGUAUGUGUAUGUAUGUAUGUAUGUAUGUACAUAUAUAUAAUAACAAAUGGUUUUAUUAAAAUAUUAUUAUUUUGAAGGC